CCUAAGCCAACAAGCACGCGCGCAGAAAGAAAGAAAGAGAUUCUUACCAAAAAAAAAAACAAAGAAAGAGAGAGACCGCAAGCGCCUUUACGAUUGGGGUCGUCGGCCUGGCAGCGUCCCGUUCCCCUCGGAUCGCGUGGAGCGCUGCUGCCGGCCUGCUCAAAGCUUCUUUAAAGCGGGCGGUACAAAAGGAAGAGAGAGAGGGAAAGAAGACUACGUCACAGAAACAUCCGAGAGA
rnacentral:lncRNA from 1 species